CAUGGGGAGAUGGUCGUGCCAAGAUACUCGACAACGGACAACUUCUCACUUUAUCCCUUGACAAAGCCUCUGGUUCUGGAUUUCAAUCCAAGAAUGAAUAUCUCUUUGGCAACAUUGAUAUGCAGCUCAAGCUUGUACCUGGAAACUCUGCAGGAACGGUCACUGCUUACUAUGUAAGUUAUAAAUAAUUGUUAUUGUCUUAGUGCUAAUGCUACAAUAAUAUAUCUAGUCUAAUAAUAAUUUGAACCUUUCAAUACAUAAUCAUGUGUUAAUUAUUUUUACCAUGGCAUGCAGUUGUCAUCAAAAGGAUCAAAUUGGGAUGAGAUUGACUUUGAAUUCUUAGGGAAUGUGAGUGGAGAACCAUACACUCUUCACACCAAUGUGUUUUGUCAAGGAAAAGGAAAUAGAGAACAACAAUUCCA
rnacentral:lncRNA from 1 species